GACGAACGCUGGCGGCGUGCUUAACACAUGCAAGUCGAACGGAAAGGCCCUGCUUUUGUGGGGUGCCCGAGGGGCGAAGGGGUGAGUAACACGUGAGUAACCUGCCCUUGACUUUGGGAUAACUUCAGGAAACUGGGGCUAAUACCGGAUAGGAGCUGCUGCUGCAUUGAGGGGGGGGGAAAGUUUUGGCGGUUGGGGAUGGACUCGCGGCUUAUGAGCUUGUUGGUGGGGUAGUGGCUGACCAAGGCUUGGGAGGGUCGCCCGCCUGAGAGGGUGACCGGCCACAUUGGGACUGAGAUACGGCCCAGACUCCUACGGGGGGCAGCAGUGGGGAGUAUUGCACAAUGGGCGGAAGCCUGAUGCAGCAACGCCGCGUGCGUGAUGACGGCCUUCGGGUUGUAAACCGCUUUCGCCUGUGACGAAGCGUGAGUGACGGUAAUGGGUAAAGAAGCACCGGCUAACUACGUG
rnacentral:rRNA from 1 species